UUAACUAUUAUAUAGUACUCAGACGACACUAAUACAGAGUUUGGGGUCUCUGGCGAGCACGCGUCAGCCGAGGCCGACGGCCUAGGGCGGCUCGCCAAAGCAACAUUCGUUGGUAUAACAAAGGGUGGGAGGUCUACCCCGAAGGGCAUGAUCUCUGUAAUGAUCCUUCCGCAGGUUCACCUACGGAAA
rnacentral:misc_RNA from 1 species